GGGUCAAUAAUGAGAACCUUAUAUUGUCUCUGAAGAGAAGUGAUGACUUAAAAAUCAUGCUCAAUAGGAUUAUGCUGAGGCCC
ensembl:snoRNA SNORD115 Small nucleolar RNA SNORD115